CCCCGCCUCCGACGGUGCUGAGGCCGCCUCCGCAAGGCGCUGCCCGGGGCGGUCGGUGCUUCAGUUGCACCUCAUGGUGCCUUUGCCCGUUCAGGCUGUAAGAUGAGGCUGCUGGCUGCCACACUCUUGCUGGUGGCGCCUCUCGGCGCUGCCUUCUACCUGCCCGGACUGGCGCCCGUCAGCUUCUGCGAGGAGGGCGAGGAAACCGAAAGCUGCAAGUCACUAAUUGAGCUCUUCGUGAACCGGCUGGACUCUGUUGAAUCAGUUCUGCCAUACGAAUAUGAUGCUUUUGACUUCUGUCAAGAUAAGGAAGAGAAAAGACCAUCAGAAAAUCUUGGACAAGUGCUGUUUGGGGAGAGAAUAGCAUCAUCUCCAUAUAAGUUCACUUUUAAAAAGCAAGAAACUUGCAAGAAGGUUUGUACAAGAACAUAUGAUCCAGGAAACAGUGCUGAUAAAAGCAAACUGGCUUUUUUGAAGAAAGGAAUGCAAUUGAAUUAUCAGCAUCACUGGAUUAUCGAUAACAUGCCUGUAACAUGGUGUUAUGAUGUGGAAGAUGGACAAAAAUACUGUAAUCCAGGAUUUCCAAUAGGAUGUUUUGUUACUCCAGAUGGUAGAGUUAAAGAUGCUUGUGUUAUAAAUUCAGAGUUUAACAAGAAGAACACUUUCUACCUCUUCAACCAUGUUGACAUAACAAUCAUGUACCACAGUGGGAAGGAUGAAAACUGGCCUGGUGCAAGACUGGUGAUGGCAAGACUGAGACCACAAAGCUACAAGCAUACAGAUGAGAACAACUUAAGCUGUGAAGGCCCACCUAUGGAGAUUCCUGGAGAAUUUACCAAUAAACUGAAUUUGGUUUACACUUACUCUGUGACAUUUGAAGAAAAGAAUAGUAUUAAGUGGGCUUCCAGAUGGGACUACAUUUUGGAGUCAAUGCCGCAUACAAACAUUCAGUGGUUUAGUAUAAUGAAUUCCCUUGUAAUUGUUCUCUUCUUAUCUGGCAUGGUGGCUAUGAUCAUUCUGAGGACUCUUCAUAAAGAUAUUGCAAGAUACAACCAGAUUGACUCUUCUGAAGAUGCCCAAGAGGAAUUUGGCUGGAAGCUGGUUCAUGGAGAUGUAUUCAGACCUCCAAGGAAGGGAAUGUUACUGUCUGUUUUUUUGGGCCAAGGAACUCAAAUUUUCAUUAUGACGUUUAUUACUUUAUUCCUAGCUUGCCUUGGUUUCCUUUCUCCUGCCAACCGUGGUGCUCUGAUGACCUGUGCAGUUGUAUUGUGGGUUUUACUAGGAACUCCAGCUGGUUACGUGUCUGCUAGAAUGUACAAGACAUUCAGAGGUGAGAAGUGGAAGACCAACGUCUUGCUUACAGCUCUGCUCUGCCCUGGGAUUGUCUUUGCUGAUUUCUUCAUUAUGAAUCUCAUUCUGUGGGUGAAAGGCUCCUCAGCUGCCAUCCCUUUUGGCACUUUGGUUGCUAUCCUUGCUAUGUGGUUUGGAAUUUCAGUCCCACUAACCUUUGUUGGUGCCUAUUUUGGCUUCAAAGAGAAGCCUAUUGAACAUCCAGUGCGUACAAACCAGAUUCCUCGCCAAAUCCCAGAGCAGUCAUUUUUCACAAAGCCAUUACCUGGUAUCAUCAUGGGUGGUAUCUUACCCUUUGGCUGUAUUUUUAUUCAACUUUUUUUCAUUCUGAAUAGCAUUUGGUCUCAUCAGAUGUACUACAUGUUUGGAUUCCUGUUCCUAGUUUUUAUAAUCCUUCUAAUUACGUGUUCAGAGGCUACAGUUUUGCUGUGCUACUUCCAUCUGUGUGCAGAGGACUAUCACUGGUGGUGGAGGUCAUUCUUGACCAGCAGCUUUACAGCAGUUUAUCUCUUUAUCUAUGCAGUCCAUUACUUCUUCUCUAAACUCCAGAUAACAGGAACUGCCAGCACCAUUUUAUACUUUGGUUACACAAUGAUCAUGGUCUUGAUUUUUUUCCUUUUCACAGAUUGUGUUUAGAAUCUGAGAUUCUGAAGCACCCACCACUGUGCAGUGAUUGAAACCAGUAUGAUACAGAGAGCUUUUAAGGGACUAUUGGAUUUUUUGCCUGCUUCUGGUUUGUAAGUAAGAUUUACAGCGUUGUGAAGGUGGACUGAAAAGCUCCAAAGUGUCUUUUGAACAUAUCUCCCUUGCUGUUUGAUAAUUUUUACCAUGUAUUGAAAAACAUCCUGUGUAAUUAUUUUGAUUUGUAAAAGUGGAAGACCAGACCACAGCAUAAAAUUCAGAUUUUUAUUGAAGAAAAUGGCACCAUUGCCAUUUUGAUAUAAACAGAAAUGUUUACAUCAUCAUAUGCUUAUUGAAUAUGUUAAUUAUAGUAAUUCAAAAAUUAUAUCCAAAAUUUGAGUUAGAACAAAUAAGAAUUCUAUGAACUAGUUUAUUUGAAAAAUUGAGUGCAUUAUGCAGUUCUCCAGCUGGAUUUCCUUCUGACUAGGGCUUGGGGUUUUUUUGUUACCUCUUUUGGUUACCAUUUAUAUGCCAUGAAAGCCUAGGACUGUCAAGUAAAUCUAUGUAAAAUGUGAAUUUUUUUUUAACUUAACUAUGAUUGUACAUAUUAUCCUGCACCUUCUUUACAGCUAGGUUAUCUUCUUACAAAUGUACAUGCAUUUAGUGUAAUGUAGACUUUAUUAAAAAUAUCGACACUGGUUUUUGUUCAAAUAAAACUGCACAACUCCA